GGAGAUCACAAGUAUGGGUGAUCAGAGUUCUUUGAAACCAAUACUGAAAAAUCCAAGGUGGUUCAAACCACCAUGCACAAUAGGAGGGUGCCCUGAAUAGGAAAUAGGCACUGAUUGUUUAAAUGAGCCUGCAUAAACCACUUGGAAAAGGAUGGUUUUAUCAGUGGGAGACCUAAUUCUACAUGAUCCCCCAGAUCAGCAUGAUCUACUGAUUGACAUAACUGGGGUGUUGAACUCCCCUACUCUUAUGCUAUUUUUGUCAAUUUCUCCCUUUAUGUCUCUUAACAUUUGCUUUGUAUAUAAUCAGGUUGCUUGUAUGUUGGGUGUAUAGAUAGAUAUAAAUAUCAUCUUGUUGUAGCGA